UACGGGAGGCAGCAGUGGGGAAUAUUGCACAAUGGGCGAAAGCCUGAUGCAGCUAUGCCGCGUGUAUGAAGAAGGCCUUAGGGUUGUAAAGUACUUUCAUCGGGGAGGAAAAAACAAAACUAAUAAUUUUAUUUCUUGACGUUACCCGAAAAAGAAGCACCGGCUAACUCCGUGCCAGCAGCCGCGGUAAUACGGAGGGUGCUAGCGUUAAUCAGAAUUACUGGGCGUAAAGAGCACGUAGGUGGUUUUUUUAAGUCAGAUGUGAAAUCCCUGGGCUUAACCUAGGAACUGCAUUUUGAAACUGAAAUACUAGAGUAUCGUAGAGGGAGGUAGAAUUCUAGGUGUAGCGGUGAAAUGCGUAGAUAUCUGGAGGAAUACCUGUGGCGAAAGCGGCCUCCUAAACGAAUACUGACACUGAGGUGCGAAAGCGUGGGGAGCAAACAGGGAUUAGAUACCUU
rnacentral:rRNA from 1 species